rnacentral:lncRNA from 1 species
AAAUAUGUGCUCAAGGCUCCAACUUACAGACUAAUAGGAGUUUUGAAGCUUGCCGUUUUUUGAAGGCUUAUACAAAAUAGUUUCCUGCAAACUCAAGUGGCUGGGAAGCCCAGCUGAAGGUUACUUCUACCCCAAGGCCAUGUCAGCAGAAAGUGGCCAACAGGACUUGGGCCUGAAAAAGCUCAGACUGAAUUUUAGGAGUGACAUCUGAAACUGCUGGUUUCUCACAAGGAAUAAAAGCUGUCUGGGAAGCUGGAGAGGCAGUGUGCUGUCUGGAGCAGGGACUUGCAAAUGGGAACAGUGAAGAGAGACAGCAUCUCCUUCCUCUGAAGAUUCUGUUCAGAAUGGAUAAAGGUUCAGCAUCCUCCCUGGAUGGGGCAGCUUAGCAGACCCAGAGGAAAGCACUGGGAGGAAUGAGAAAGUAGCGACUAGACAAAAAUGAAAACUCUUUAAGAAGCAUUGCUGAAGUUACAGGGGAAAAAGAUUAAGACAACUGAGGUUAAGGGCCUGACUCCAGAUCACACAGCAAGGGAGAUGGCAAAAUCAAGAUUUCAACCCAGGAAACCUGCCUCCCAUGCCUAUGUUAAUCACUACACCCUUCCCACAAUAAAUAAUCAAAUAAGCUA